rnacentral:misc_RNA from 1 species
GGAGUUUUGAGGAAAAGAGAAGCUCAAUUAUCAAGUGAGAAACUGGAUUUUCGAAUUCAAAACAAUGUACAGUUCUCGUGGAGGAAAAAAUGGAAGCAGUUAGGAGUAUUCUCAGAGGUUUAGUCAUUACACACCUAUACACUGCUUUAGUAUAGUUGAUAUAUCCUGCAUAUCCACUACCUAGAUGUAAAAUUCAUAUAUUAAUUUUAG